UUUAAGCUAUAAACCUAUAGAAUGGAUAAAGAUAAAAGUUUGGCAAGAAUCCUCAUGAUAGUUACAGCUAUUUCCGUUUUUCCUGAAAGUGAAACGCAGGCAUGUGACGUAAAGAGUAUGAUUAUAGGCGAUUGUAUUGAUGCAGAAGACUAUUGCAAAGUAGACGACAACAAACCAUGGACACCACCAGCAGACAACCACCUUGUUAACGUGGAAUUAGUAACCCCUGACUUGAAUGCGGAAUGUUACGACAGGUUCACGUUUAGUGGUCGUCAAAUAAAUGAUGGUUGC